rnacentral:lncRNA from 1 species
UGGCUUCUGCCUCAGUAAACACUGUCUGACUCUUGACUUGCUUGCCUUGUGGUUUCCUUAUAUGAAUAAACAGUAAUGUAAGCAGCAUUAUGCUUUUCCGUCAGCUUAUUGGGAUUACCUUGUGGAUGACAUAAUGUCUUUUUCCACUCUUGGCAAGUAUAACCUUAUCCCUGUGGCCCUCUGCUUUUUUUUCUCUGCAUUUUGGGAAAAAACAUCUCUACUAUGUCCUGUUUUCACUGUUCCCUUGUAUAUAUUGCUGGCAUCAAGCUCAGCAAAAAAAUCAGCAAAAUAGGUUCUUAUAAAUUAUUCAAUGUGAUAUUUCACUGAAGAUUUAUGGAGAAAAAUAUGUGUAACCUACUGUUGUCAGUUAAUGAUUUGAACUGAUUAAAUAAGAUGAACGUAUUAGGUAAAAAACAAUUAUAUAUACGUGCGUAACUAAAAUAAUUAUGGAUCAUGUAUGCUGAAUCGGACAGUGUAGCAUCAUGAGGAGUUAGGAAAGUCUUAUGCCUUAGGGGUGUUCUUUUUCUUUUACUGUUAUUUUCUCUGCAGCUUCCUGUAGGUAGGAAGAUGUAAUUUGACCUAGUCCAGCUGAGGGAAAAAAAAAGCAACGUUCAGUCAGAUGAGCUCUGCUGGCUUUGGCAUGAGGUGGAAAUGGCUGCGAAUAGUCAGGGUAAGUAUUUCAGAAUGUGAUCUUCCAUAGCUUAGACCCAAGCUAACUUGUUAACGAGAGCCAAACUCUGCUGCUUCUCUUCAGAGAUUUACAGCUCAUGGUUUGUUUUGAUAUUACACAAAAAGCACUUAUUCUUAAUGGUUCUUGUUUUGCUUUUUACUUGUUUUGUCUCUCUUCUCUCCCAGCCCUCACCAUGGCCUUCUAAUGCUUGAAAAUAUUUGAGAUUAGGCAAUGUGGUUUCAUUUGAAAACGUUUACUGGUUUGAAGUACUGUUCCAUUCUUCAAGAGGAAUUAGAAGGUCAGAGAGCUCGACAUACGCUUCUGCACCAAGCUGUUGCAUUGAGAAAGACUUUCCUGUUUGCUACUGACAGAGGAGUGCUCCUGGUCUGUCACUGACCACCGGUGGAGAAGGUUCUUGGUUCUGCCAUGCAGUUCAGCAUGCUUGGGCUGGGUUCCUGGGAGGGGCAGGUCACGGUGUUCAAGGUGUGUGCUCUUGGUUUUUAAAGAAUAGAGAGUGUUUCUUGUGAAGAGAUUUUCAAAAACUUAACUGUAAUAUAGAUUUGAGGA